rnacentral:tRNA from 1 species
GCGCCUGUGGCUCAAAGGAGUAGGGCACUGGCCCCAUAUGCCAGAGGUGGUGGGUUCAAACCCAUCCAUGGCCA